UACAGAGGUGGCAAGCGUUGUUCGGAAUUACUGGGCGUAAAGGGCGUGUAGGUGGCCAACUAAGUCAGACGUGAAAUCCCUCGGCUUAACCGGGGAACUGCGUCUGAUACUGGAUGGCUUGAGUGUGGGAGAGGGAUGCGGAAUUCCAGGUGUAGCGGUGAAAUGCGUAGAUAUCUGGAGGAACACCGGUGGCGAAGGCGGCAUCCUGGACCAUUACUGACACUGAAACGCGAAAGCCAGGGGAGCAAACGGG
rnacentral:rRNA from 1 species